CUUUCUUCUUUGUGGUCAUUGGAGUUCCUGCAGUCAUCAUUAUCAUCUCUGCAGUCAGCCUCGGACUGAUCUACAGCAAAAAAUGCCACAGAAGAGAACGGCUGCCAAAAUCCAGUCUUGAAAACACGGAGCUGUACACGCACACAGAAUACCGAGCCAUACAGCGUCUUCAUGCACACAAAGAAUGGG